GAAAUGCGAUAAGUAGUGUGAAUUGCAGAAUUCAGUGAAUCAUCGAAUCUUUGAACGCACAUUGCGCCCCUUGGUAUUCCAUGGGGCAUGCCUGUUCGAGCGUCAUUUGUACCCUCAAGCUCUGCUUGGUGUUGGGUGUUUGUCCCCGUCUCCGCGCGUGGACUCGCCCCAAAGUGAUUGGCAGCCGGCGUACUGGUCCCGGAGCGCAGUACAUGUCGCGCAAACGAGUGCCUUGGUACGGCGGCGUCCAUAAGCCCCUCUCUCACGCUCUUGACCUCGGAUCAGGUAGGGAUACCCGCUGAACUUAAGC
rnacentral:misc_RNA from 1 species